ACCUUUGCACAGUGGCAGUAUUGUAGUCAGUGAGGUUUAUCUGAAGCAUAAUCAUUGCUAGCUGGAUAUACGCUUUUUGUUGGUCUCCCUGCCUAGAGCUCCCUGGGGGCACAGUCCCUAUUUACCUACUGCUGAAUCCUUAGCACCUAAAAGAUGCAGGACUUGUACAAGG
rnacentral:snRNA from 1 species